GACGAACGCUGGCGGCGUGCUUAACACAUGCAAGUCGAACGGAAAGGCCCUUCGGGGUACUCGAGUGGCGAACGGGUGAGUAACACGUGGGUGAUCUGCCCUGCACUUUGGGAUAAGCCUGGGAAACUGGGUCUAAUACCGAAUAGGAUCAUCGGCUUCAUGGUCGGUGGUGGAAAGCUUUUGCGGUGUGGGAUGGGCCCGCGGCCUAUCAGCUUGUUGGUGGGGUAAUGGCCUACCAAGGCGACGACGGGUAGCCGGCCUGAGAGGGUGACCGGCCACACUGGGACUGAGAUACGGCCCAGACUCCUACGGGAGGCAGCAGUGGGGAAUAUUGCACAAUGGGCGCAAGCCUGAUGCAGCGACGCCGCGUGAGGGAUGACGGCCUUCGGGUUGUAAACCUCUUUCAGCAGGGGCGAAGCGCAAGUGACGGUACCUGUAGAAGAAGGACCGGCCAACUACGUGCCAGCCGCCGCAGUAA
rnacentral:rRNA from 1 species